rnacentral:misc_RNA from 1 species
UUAAGUUCAGCGGGUAUUCCUACCUGAUCCGAGGUCAACCUUGAAAAGGAGUUUUCCCAAUAAAGGGAGAAGACCGGAGCCUGGGUUCCCUUGAUCCGAUACGUGCUCAGUUAAGAAGCUCAAUGUACCGGGGGUUCCAACAGGCCGCCGUCAUUGUCUUUAGGAGGGGUGACGCCCGGAGGCACUCCACCAAACCGUCC